GACGGCGGACAGCCAGUCUGACACCGAGAGGUAGACCAGCAGCUUCCGCGGGGUCGUCCUCAAGUCUGGCCAAAUAAUAAUUUCUGCGGCAGUAUACUUGCUGAUUGCUUCGUUCUCACUCCUCACAACAACCAGCUAAGACACUGCCAGAGAAACACCCACAGCAGCCGCUUCCAUCCGACCGGCCGUCCCUCUGCCUGCCUCACCCCCAGCAGGAUCCUGACUGAUAUUUGCCAUGUGGGUUCAUCACUACGGACACUCUCGCUUUUCAUGCCCAGCUCUUUGGUGGUGGUUGUUGGAAGGCAACAGUCUCACACUAAAAGCCCAUGGGGGUGGUGUGGUCCUACGCCAACAGCUGGGAGCUCUAUGAGAGAAGUAAGAAAUAACAAGCACAUGAUAACAGAAGCUCCUUCCUGCUCAGGGUUUGAUGUCAUCUCUAAUAAAUGACUGAGUAAUGCCAGAGAAAACAACACCCAGUUUGCUAAAUGCUGUUUCACACAGAAAACAGCAGCGGUAAGAGCAGCAGCGAGCCUCCACCCUCAAACCUGUCCACAGGCCUCGGGCUGGAUUCAGCGUCACUGACAGAUUUUGUCUUCCUAAUUCUGUAUUAUUGGCCAAACAAAAAAGGGUUGUGAGAAAAGUGUGCUCAUUAGUGUGAGGUCUGGAUGAAUGUUGCACCAGUUAUUUUAGCAGGAGACACAGAAGAACAUAUUUUCUGAUUUUCCAGAUUAAAUACACUUUCAUUUACACACUACUCUUUGCUUACACUAAUGUGAUAUAGCUAUGCAUAUAACAGGAGCUUGCAUUGGAUUACUUACAUAUGUCCUAAAAACAGGCAAUAUUUAUCACCAAGUGUGAUGAAUAAAGUGUUAUUACUGGCAUAAAUAUGAGUGAGAACUAAUGAGAAAUCCAGAUGAAACAACCUGAUCACUGGUGCAAACUGUUAUUUUUAUUAGCCAGGGUUCUGUCAGUUAUUUUCUAAUUAACUGUCUGGCCUAAAAUCUCAGAAAAUAAUGAAAAUGGUAUUUCGACAUCUUCACAUGUCUCAUUUUGUUCCACCAACAGUCCAAAACCAAAUAAAAGAAUUGCUUUUGUUUAUGUAAUACAAAAGGAAAAUCCUCACAAGUGAAAGGCUGGAACUUCUGUAGGAGGUGUUUGAUAUUUCUGCUCGGGAAAUGACUUUAACAAUGAACUGAUCAUCACAAUAGUUGCUAAUUAGUUUUCUGUUGAUCGACAAAUCAAAUAGUCACCUAUUUACAGCAUACUAUAGUUUUUCAAACGUGUCUGAAAACUCAUUUAUUUUCUAUGGCUUUUGACACAAAGCAAUUUUGUGCGCUGUGGGACUUAUCUUAUGGUGUUUUCUCCUUCUAGUGAUCAUUAUAUGACCUGCCCUCUCUGACAGUGCUAUGUGUAGUCUUGUAUAUGCUGGGUUAGUCUUAAUGUUUGUUGUGUGUUCUGUUGUCCGGAUGUGUUAUGCUAUAUAAUUUCAGUCUUGCAUUUUGUUAUUGUAACUUUGUAGUGCCUGUUUUUAAAAAGUGCUGUACAUAUAUACGAAUGCUAUUGCUAUUGUGUAUUUGAUAGCUGAAGUUAUACUUGAGAGA